GACGAACGCUGGCGGCGUGCUUAACACAUGCAAGUCGAACGAUGAAGCCGGAGCUUGCUCUGGUGGAUUAGUGGCGAACGGGUGAGUAACACGUGAGUAACCUGCCCUUGACUCUGGGAUAAGCGUUGGAAACGACGUCUAAUACCGGAUACGAGCUAGGACCGCCUGGUCACUAGCUGGAAAGAACUUCGGUCAAGGAUGGACUCGCGGCCUAUCAGUUAGUUGGGGAGGUAACGGCUCACCAAGCCGAGGACGGGUGGCCGGCCUGAGAGGGUGACCGGCCACACUGGGACUGAGACACGGCCUAGACUCCUACGGGAGGCAGCAGUGGGGAAUAUUGCACAAUGGGCGCAAGCCUGAUGCAGCAACGCCGCGUGAGGGACGACGGCCUUCGGGUUGUAAACCUCUUUUAGCAGGGAAGAAGCGAAAGUGACGGUACCUGCAGAAAAAGCACCGGCUAACUACGUGCCAGCAGCCGCCGUAAAAC
rnacentral:rRNA from 1 species